CCUAUACAUGCAAGUCGAACGGUGUCUUCGGACAUAGUGGCGCACGGGUGCGUAACACGUAUGCAACCUACCUUACAUUGGGGGAUAGCCUUUCGAAAGGGAGACUAAUACCGCAUAAGACAGUAACUUGGCAUCAAGUAGCUGUUAAAGAUUUAUCGAUGUAAGCUGGGCAUGCGUCCAAUUAGCUAGUUGGUGAGGUAAUGGCUCACCAAGGCUAUGAUUGGUAGGGGAACUGAGAGGUCAAUCCCCCACACUGGCACUGAGAUACGGGCCAGACUCCUACGGGAGGCAGCAGUAGGGAAUAUUGGGCAAUGGACGCAAGUCUGACCCAGCCAUGCCGCGUGCAGGAUGAAGGCGUUAUGCGUUGUAAACUGCUUUUAUACAGGAAGAAACGACUCUUGCGAGAGGCAUUGACGGUACUGUAUGAAUAAGCACCGGCUAACUCCGUGCCAGCAGCCGCGGUAAUACGGAGGGUGCAAGCGUUGUCCGGAUUUAUUGGGUUUAAAGGGUGCGCAGGUGGUUUAUUAAGUCAGUGGUGAAAGACGGUCGCUCAACGAUUGCAGUGCCAUUGAAACUGGUAGACUUGAGUAAAGUAGAGGUGGGCGGAAUUGAUAGUGUAGCGGUGAAAUGCGUAGAUAUUAUCAAGAACUCCAAUUGCGUAGGCAGCUCACUUGGCUUUUACUGACACUCAUGCACGAAAGUGUGGGUAUCAAACAGGAUUAGAUACCCUGGUAGUCCACACUGUAAACGAUGAUAACUAGGUGUCGGCCGAAUCUGGUCGGUGCCACAGCGAAAGCGUUAAGUUAUCCACCUGGGGAGUACGCCGGCAACGGUGAAACUCAAAGGAAUUGACGGGGGUCUGCACAAGCGGUGGAGCAUGUGGUUUAAUUCGAUGAUACGCGAGGAACCUUACCUAGGCUAGAAUGUGAAGGAAUGAUACAGAAAUGGAUCAGUCAGCAAUGACCUGAAAC
rnacentral:rRNA from 1 species